rnacentral:rRNA from 1 species
GAUGAACGCUGGCGGCGUGCCUAAUACAUGCAAGUCGAGCGAACGGACGAGAAGCUUGCUUCUCUGAUGUUAGCGGCGGACGGGUGAGUAACACGUGGAUAACCUACCUAUAAGACUGGGAUAACUUCGGGAAACCGGAGCUAAUACCGGAUAAUAUCUUGAACCGCAUGGUUCAAAAGUGAAAGACGGUCUUGCUGUCACUUAUAGCUGGAUCCGCGCUGCAUUAGCUAGUUGGUAAGGUAACGGCUUACCAAGGCAACGAUGCAUAGCCGAGGGGAGAGAGGGAUCGGCCACACGGGAGCUGGGACGCGGACCAGGCGCCUGAGAGAGGCAGCAGUAGGGAAUCUUCCGCAGUGGGCGAGAGCCUGGCGGAGCGGCGCCGCGUGAGUGAUGGAGGUCUUCGGAGCGUAAAACUCUGUUAUUGGGGAAAAACAGAUGUGUAAGGAGCUGUGCAGAGCUUGACGGUACCUGAUCAGAAAGCCACGGCUAACUACGUG